rnacentral:rRNA from 1 species
ACUGCUCAGUAACACGUAGUCAACAUGCCCAGGGGACGUGGAUAACCUCGGGAAACUGAGGAUAAACCGCGAUAGGUCAUCACUUCUGGAAUGGUAAUGACCUAAAUCUAUAUGGCCCCUGGAUUGGACUGCGGCCGAUCAGGCUGUUGGUGAGGUAAUGGCCCACCAAACCUGUAACCGGUACGGGCUCUGAGAGGAGGAGCCCGGAGAUGGGCACUGAGACAAGGGCCCAGGCCCUAUGGGGCGCAGCAGGCGCGAAACCUCUGCAAUAGGCGAAAGCUUGACAGGGUUACUCUGAGUGAUUUCCGUUAAGGAGAUCUUUUGGCACCUCUAAAAAUGGUGCAGAAUAAGGGGUGGGCAAGUCUGGUGUCAGCCGCCGCGGUAAUACCAGCACCCCGAGUGGUCGGGACGUUUAUUGGGCCUAAAGCAUCCGUAGCCGGUUCUACAAGUCUUCCGUUAAAUCCACCUGCUUAACAGAUGGGCUGCGGAAGAUACUAUAGAGCUAGGAGGCGGGAGAGGCAAGCGGUACUCGAUGGGUAGGGGUAAAAUCCGUUGAUCCAUUGAAGACCACCAGUGGCGAAGGCGGCUUGCCAGAACGCGCUCGACGGUGAGGGAUGAAAGCUGGGGGAGCAAACCGGAUUAGAUACCCGGGUAGUCCCAGCUGUAAACGAUGCAGACUCGGUGAUGAGUUGGCUUAUUGCUAACUCAGUGCCGCAGGGAAGCCGUUAAGUUUGCCGCCUGGGGAGUACGGUCGCAAGACUGAAACUUAAAGGAAUUGGCGGGGGAGCA